UACGGAGGAUGCGAGCGUUAUCCGGAAUGAUUGGGCGUAAAGCGUCCGCAGGUGGCUAUGUAAGUCUGCUGUUAAAGAGUGAGGCUCAACCUCAUAAAAGCAGUGGAAACUACAUGGCUAGAGUGCGUUCGGGGCAGAGGGAAUUCCUGGUGUAGCGGUGAAAUGCGUAGAGAUCAGGAAGAACACCGGUGGCGAAAGCGCUCUGCUAGGCCGCAACUGACACUCAUGGACGAAAGCUAGGGGAGCGAAUGGG
rnacentral:rRNA from 1 species